rnacentral:rRNA from 1 species
UACGAAGGGGGCUAGCGUUGCUCGGAAUCACUGGGCGUAAAGCGCACGUAGGCGGAUUGUUAAGUCAGGGGUGAAAUCCUGGAGCUCAACUCCAGAACUGCCUUUGAUACUGGCGAUCUCGAGUCCGGGAGAGGUGAGUGGAACUGCGAGUGUAGAGGUGAAAUUCGUAGAUAUUCGCAAGAACACCAGUGGCGAAGGCGGCUCACUGGCCCGGUUACUGACGCUGAGGCACGAAAGCGUGGGGGAGCAAACAGGAUUAGAUGACCCUAGUACGUCAG